rnacentral:tRNA from 1 species
GUUAUUUUGGCAGAUUAGUGCAGUGAAUUUAGAAUUCGUAUAUGUAAAUUUUUAC